AGCGAACGCUGGCGGCAGGCCUAACACAUGCAAGUCGAACGGAUCCUUCGGGAUUAGUGGCGGACGGGUGAGUAACACGUGGGAACGUGCCCUUUGGUUCGGAACAACUCAGGGAAACUUGAGCUAAUACCGGAUGUGCCCUUCGGGGGAAAGAUUUAUCGCCAUUGGAGCGGCCCGCGUCUGAUUAGCUAGUUGGUGAGGUAAAGGCUCACCAAGGCGACGAUCAGUAGCUGGUCUGAGAGGAUGAUCAGCCACAUUGGGACUGAGACACGGCCCAAACUCCUACGGGAGGCAGCAGUGGGGAAUCUUGCGCAAUGGGCGAAAGCCUGACGCAGCCAUGCCGCGUGAAUGAUGAAGGUCUUAGGAUUGUAAAAUUCUUUCACCGGGGACGAUAAUGACGGUACCCGGAGAAGAAGCCCCGGCUAACUUCGUGCCAGCCGCCGCCGUAA
rnacentral:rRNA from 1 species